AGUGAACGCUGGCGGUAGGCCUAACACAUGCAAGUCGAACGGCAGCACAGGAGAGCUUGCUCUCUGGGUGGCGAGUGGCGGACGGGUGAGGAAUACAUCGGAAUCUACUCUGUCGUGGGGGAUAACGUAGGGAAACUUACGCUAAUACCGCAUACGACCUACGGGUGAAAGCAGGGGACCUUCGGGCCUUGCGCGAUUGAAUGAGCCGAUGUCGGAUUAGCUAGUUGGCGGGGUAAAGGCCCACCAAGGCGACGGUCCGUAGCUGGUCUGAGAGGAUGAUCAGCCACACUGGAACUGAGACACGGUCCAGACUCCUACGGGAGGCAGCAGUGGGGAAUAUUGGACAAUGGGCGCAAGCCUGAUCCAGCCAUACCGCGUGGGUGAAGAAGGCCUUCGGGUUGUAAAGCCCUUUUGUUGGGAAAGAAAUCCAGCUGGCUAAUACCCGGUUGGGAUGACGGUACCCAAAGAAUAAGCACCGGUUAACUUCGUGCCAGCAGCCGCCGUAA
rnacentral:rRNA from 1 species